UUAGCGGCGGAGUUUGACGCCCGUCAGCAGAAUGCUGAUAUUUAUUUGGCAAUGGCUCCUGACAGGUGUUGGCUAAACAAAGAGCUGCAGCUGGGUCGCGCUGCUCGUCAAGCGCUUGUCCGGCAGUUAGCAAAUUAUUGAUUCUUCAUCGGACCAAGGCCGAUUUAUCCAGGACCAAUUUUCGGAUCUCCUGGGCUUCCUGGAACAAGGACUAGUGAUUGUUUCGAGGAGCUGUCAUGGUGUUGGCUCUUGAUAUUUUAUCGUGAAACGCAGAUUUAAUGAUGAAGGCGCGUCGGAACCCAAACGUCAAGAAUCGCCGACGUUCACGGAAGCAGCUACAAUGAGCGGAGAAUCUGAGAGCCAGGAAUGCGGAGCACCUUGCUACUACUAAAAUGGAGAACCCGGACCUGUUAGCGACAUGGAACUGACCAGGACCGUCGUGGGCUCCUCAUGUGCCACCCC
rnacentral:lncRNA from 1 species